UUUGGGCGGUGCUUAACCAUGCAAGUCGAACGGCAGCACGGCCGGGUAACCGGUGGGUGGCGAGUGGCGGACGGGUGAGUAAUGCGUAGGAAUCUGCCUUGUAGUGGGGGAUAACUCGGGGAAACUCGGGCUAAUACCGCAUACGCUCUACGGAGGAAAGCGGGGGAUCUUCGGACCUCGCGCUAUGAGAUGAGCCUACGUCCGAUUAGCUAGUUGGCAGGGUAAUGGCCUACCAAGGCGACGAUCGGUAGCUGGUCUGAGAGGACGAUCAGCCACACUGGAACUGAGACACGGUCCAGACUCCUACGGGAGGCAGCAGUGGGGAAUAUUGGACAAUGGGCGCAAGCCUGAUCCAGCAAUGCCGCGUGUGUGAAGAAGGCCUGCGGGUUGUAAAGCACUUUAAGCAGGGAAGAAGGGUGGGGGGUUAAUACCCUCUCACAUUGACGUUACCUGCAGAAUAAACUCCGGCUAACUCCGUGCCAGCAAU
rnacentral:rRNA from 1 species